ensembl:snRNA U1 U1 spliceosomal RNA
ACAUUUUGAUGGAAGUUUUCAAAUUUUACUUCUAAAACCUGUAAUUUUCCCAAAUGUGGGAAACUUGACUGCACAAUUUGUGGUAGUAGGGCACUGUGUGCUCUCCCCUGU